rnacentral:rRNA from 1 species
AGGUGGCGAGCGUUGUCCGGAUUUACUGGGUGUAAAGGGAGCGCAGGCGGUGCGGCAAGUCUGAUGUGAAAGCCCGGGGCUCAACCCCGGUACUGCAUUGGAAACUGUCGUACUAGAGUGUCGGAGGGGUAAGUGGAAUUCCUAGUGUAGCGGUGAAAUGCGUAGAUAUUAGGAGGAACACCAGUGGCGAAGGCGGCUUACUGGACGAUAACUGACGCUGAGGCUCGAAAGCGUGGGGAGCAA